CCCUUAGAUGUUCUGGGCUGCACGCGCGCUACACUGAAGCGUUCAACGAGUAUUCACCUUGCCCGGGAGGGUUGGGUAAUCUUUUGAAAACGCUUCGUGAUGGGGAUAGAUUAUUGCAAUUAUUAAUCUUCAACGAGGAAUUCCUAGUAAACGCAAGUCAUCAGCUUGCAUUGAUUACGUCCCUGCCCUUUGUACACACCGCCCGUCGCACCUACCGAUUGAAUGGUCCGGUGAAAUCUUCGGAUCUGAGAGAUGUCUGAUUAAUUUCGGACGCCUUUUGGAAAAGUUGCUUAAACCUUACCAUUUAGAGGAAGGUGAAGUCGUAACA
rnacentral:rRNA from 1 species